rnacentral:lncRNA from 1 species
UCCAAUCUUAACACAUGAUAUAUAGAUAGAAACUACGAUUUAAAUAAUUACAACUCCCAAAACUCGGUAGAAAUAAGUCACAAUCUUAUAAGAGAAAAUACUAAGUGUCUCUAUACAUCAGAGUCUAAAGAGAAUAAGGAAAAUAACAAAAUAAGGAUAGAGGGGGGCUCCGAGGUCAGCGGGCGCUGGCAGAUAUACCUUGAAGUCUCCACGUAUAGUCCAACUCACGGGUAUCCGGUCUGGUAGGAAGAACCUAGAUCUACACAAAAAUAUAUGCAGAAGUGUAGUAUGAGUACACCACAACGGUACCUAGUAAGUGCCAAGCCUAACCUCAGUAGAGUAGUAAUGAGGUCAGGUCGGGGCCCUACUAGAAUAAAAAGGAAAUGAGGCAGAAAAUAUAAUAAUACAAUUAAGUGACUGAGACAUAAGCAACGAAAAAUUUACAGAAAAGUAACAGCACAUCAAAUAGAGGAAAACAAUGGGGACGCCCCCGAGGUAUCGCCUCGUAAACCCAAAUGUAAAUGCUCGAGAGGGGGAUCUCCUGAGGUACCGCCUCGUAGUCCGAAAAGUAAAUAUGUAACAUGGGGAUCUCUCGAGGUACUGCCUCAUAGUCCCAAAAGUAAAUAUGCAAACAGGGGAAUAUCCCGAGGUACCGCCUCAUAGUCCCAAAAGUAAAUAUGCAAACAGGGGGAUCUCCUGAGGUACCGCCUCGUAGUCCCAAAAGUAAAUAUACAAACAGGAGGAUCUCCCGAGGUGUCGCCUCGUAGUCCCAAAAGUAAAUAUACAACUCAUAAUUUAUGGAACCACGAAUUUACGGCAAGGAAUCCUACAGUUAAAGACCGAAGACAGCAAUCAAUAAAAUGUGUAAUUCAAUAAGCAUGUUGCACGAAUUUCAAGCUACAGGACAAUUUGAACUUUCAAUUAUAACAUAUCCAUGGCAUCAGGAAAAUAAGUUCAAGAAGAUUUGGAGCAUAAUAGUUUCAGAACUUAACAAGGAAAGUAAAUCAAAACAAAUCGAUAAUUACACAUUACCAAAUCUGUGAAACUGAACAGAAUUAGCAUAUAAACAAAUUGAAUCUUCAUUUAGGAUUCAAAUAAGAGCAACAGAGACAGCUGAACAUACCUAAACAGCAAUCGAAGACCAAAUAAAGGUCUGAAAAGAAGAAAUAAUGAAAUUUAACUACAAAUGGACAGCAAACCAGCAAAAGUACAACAACAACUUCAAUUGUAAAUCCAACAACAACUUGAAAACCCAGAAAUUACUGAACUAUUCUAACAAACCUCGAAAUCACUUUGAGAUUUUCCCUAGCCUUUUGUUUUUAUUUUGGAGCUUUUGGUUUUUCUGCAUAACUAGAAUUUUUGAAUUUCCAGAAGUUCUAGCUACUAAUGUGUUUUCCGUGUGUGAAGGUGAGAGAAUGAGAGUGAAUGAGUGCAGAUGAGAGAGAGUGUAUGAGUGAGUUUAGAUGAGAAUGAAUUGGCAGUGAAGGCGUCCCCGGAUGAGUGCAUAAUGGGUCUGUUAUAUAGAAAAUGCAGAGAUUCCUUUUCAGUUAUUUUCCUUCUUUUACAUCCCUCUUCUUUUAAUUAUUUACCCUCUCACCCCCAAAUACUUAUAAUGUACUAUACUUCCUUCUUUCUUUCUUUUUUGCAAAAUGACCCUUUUCUACACAAUCCCAAAAGCUUAUGGAAAUAUAUUUCCUGAAUUAAUUCCCACCACACCCUUUAAAAACAUGUUAAUCACACUCUUUGCCCCUAUUUUUUACUCUCUCCUUCAUUUCUUUCUAUUAACUCCCUAACAUUCCCAAACUAAACUACCUUAAUUAUGAAACAUGAUUUCUGAAUUAAACAAGUAAUAGCUAGCAUUUAGAUAACAAAUAAAAUGUUAAAAAUAAAAUCAAAAACUCUUAAAGACUAAACAUGCGCAACAAACAAUAUCGAAAUUCAAAACCUAUCAAACUAACAAUCAAUUCAAAACUAAACAUGGGAGUGAUACACUACCACACAAAAAAUAAAACUACUAACAAGUAAACAUAUCCAAUAAUGUGCUGAAAAUAAGGAAAUUAACCUACACACACGACUGGAGUGAUGGGAAUCGAAGGAAGAAAUUAGAAGAAGGUAGAACUGGACGAUACCUACUCAAAACCUCGAGUCGAACUGGGGCCGAUGCCCGGCAUCGAACUUCAAUAAAACCCACCGAAAUUGACAUCACUCAAUAGAUCUUGAUAAGAUCUAUCAAAUGAUGUCGAUUCUGGCCGGUUAAAGCCAGUGAAUCGAACGAGAAGUUGAAAAGGGCUAAGAAGCGGCUAGGGUUUUGAUGGGGGUGUGAUAGGGUAGCAAUUGGGGUUCCGAUCUUGAUGGGAUGAGAUAGAGGAGGGGGAAAGGAGAAGCGAAAUGGUGAUUUGAGUGUAUUUGGACAUCUUCGGUCGGCAGAGGCAAUUUCCGGCCGGUGGUUUACGGUAGAGAGAGCAGAAGGAUGAGAGACGGUUUG